UACGGAGGAUGCAAGCGUUAUCCGGAAUUAUUGGGCGUAAAGCGUCCGUAGGUGGUUGAGUAAGUCUGCUGUUAAAGCGUGGAGCUUAACUCCAUACCGGCAGUGGAAACUACUGGACUAGAGUGCGGUAGGGGUCAGGGGAAUUCCCAGUGUAGCGGUGAAAUGCGUAGAUAUUGGGAAGAACACCGGUGGCGAAAGCGCCUGACUGGGCCUGCACUGACACUGAGGGACGAAAGCUAGGGGAGCGAAAGGG
rnacentral:rRNA from 1 species